UACGGGGGGAGCAAGCGUUGUUCGGAAUUACUGGGCGUAAAGGGCUCGUAGGCGGCCAACUAAGUCAGACGUGAAAUCCCUCGGCUUAACCGGGGAACUGCAUCUGAUACUGGAUGGCUUGAGAUUGGGAGAGGGAUGCGGAAUUCCAGGUGUAGCGGUGAAAUGCGUAGAUAUCUGGAGGAACACCGGUGGCGAAGGCGGCAUCCUGGACCAACACUGACGCUGAGGAGCGAAAGCCAGGGGAACAAACGGG
rnacentral:rRNA from 1 species